rnacentral:rRNA from 1 species
AUGUUUUAUCACUUAAACCGUGUGUCCAAAUCUCGAACCGCUUUCAUCGUUGGAUUCCUCGCGUUGAGAUCUUCAAAACUAGAUCCUAUGUUGAUAGGUUUUGACAAACUUUUUUUUUCACGAAAAACCGAACCGGGAGCACGGGUUUUUUCCCUUUCCGAAAAAGGUAUACCCGUGCCUCUCACGAAAUCACAACCGUGCCUCUCGCGGAAGCAAAACCGUGACACUCGCGGAAGGAAAAAAAAGAAAACACGUUUUUUUCGUCUCCAAGAAGGCACGGCCGUGACUCUCACGAAAGCACAACCGUCCCUCUUGCGGAAGAUAAACCGUGACUCUCUCGAAAGAAAAAAAACAGAAAACGCGUUUUUUUCGUUUCCGAGAGGCACGGCCGUGACUCGCGAAAAGCACAACCGUGUCUGUCGCGGAAGCAAAACCGUGACUCUCACGAAAAGAAAAAAAACAUAA